GGUCUCGUGGUCUAGUGGUAUGAUUCUCGCUUAGGGUGAACCCAAGCAUCGUUGCGAGAGGCCCCGGUUUCGAAUACCGGCGAGACCC